CCUCACUGUUGUAUCAACUUGUAUCAAAUAUCAUUAUUGAGAAGGAUAAUAAGGAGUGGCAAUCAAGUAAAGCUCACUCUUUCUUGCUGCAGUUAUUGCAGAGAGCUCAGUCAUGUCCACAUCCUCUGGCUUUUGACCAUCAGGUAAUUUCCAAUCAAAAUGAUAGAGCAAUUUGGCCAGUGGAAGAUGAACAUUGAUCAAAGCAAAUGUAAUUCCAGGACACAUUCUCCUUCCAGCACCAAAAGGAAGAAACUCAAAGUUAUUCCCCAUGAAAUCUACUGAGCUCUGCUCGAAUCUCUCAGGUAUAAAGCUUUUCGCAUCUUCCCAAUACUUUGGGUCCCUUCCCAUCGACCAAACAUUAACCAUGACUCUUGUUUUUAAUGGGAUGGUGUAUCCGUUGAUGUUUGUUUCUUCCCU